UGCGGAGGGAUCAUUACAGAGUUCUCGCCCUCGCGGGUAGAUCUCCCACCCACUGUUAUCGUUACUAUCGUUGCUUUGGCGGGCCGCCGGGUCCUGCCCGGCCCCCGGCCCCGGCUGGGGUGCGCCCGCCAGAGGCCCUACAAACUCUGAAUGUCAGUGUCGUCUGAGUACUAUAUAAUAGUUAAAACUUUCAACAACGGAUCUCUUGGUUCUGGCAUCGAUGAAGAACGCAGCGAAAUGCGAUAAGUAAUGCGAAUUGCAGAAUUCAGUGAGUCAUCGAAUCUUUGAACGCACAUUGCGCCCUGUGGUAUUCCGCAGGGCAUGCCUGUUCGAGCGUCAUUUCAACCCUCAAGCACUGCUUGGUGUUGGGCCCUGCCCGUCGCGGCCGGCCCUAAAGACAGUGGCGGCGCCGUCUGGCUCUAAGCGUAGUACAACUCUCGCUCUGGAGUCCUGCGGUAGCUUGCCAGAACCCCUAAUCUUAUGGUUGACCUCGGAUCAGGUAGGGAUACCCGCUGAACUUAAGCAUAUCAAUAAGCGGAG
rnacentral:rRNA from 1 species